rnacentral:tRNA from 1 species
GGGGAUUUAGCUCAGUGGUAGAGCGCUUGCCUAGCAAGCACAAGGCCCUGGGUUCGGUCCCUAGCUCCU